rnacentral:rRNA from 1 species
GAUGAACGCUGGCGGCGUGCCUAAUACAUGCAAGUCGAACGAACAGACGAGGAGCUUGCUCCUCUAACGUUAACCGCGGACGUGUGAGUAACACGAGCAGCACCUACCUAUAAGACAGGGAUAGCUUCGUGAAGCCAGAGCUAAUACCGGAUACUAUCUGCAACGGCGGGGUUCAAUAGUUACGGCCGGUUUUGCUGUCCUCGAUGGCUGGCACCGGGCUGAUUUAGUUAGUUGGUAAGGUAACGGCUUACCAAGGCGACGAUGCGUGGCCGACCGGAGAGGGUGAUCGGCCACUCUGGAACUGAGACACCGUACAGGCUCCGACGGGAGGCAGAGGUAGGGAAUCGAGCGCGAUGGGCGGAAGCCUGACGGAGGAACGCCGGGUGGGUGCUGAAGGGCUGCGGGUCGUAAGACGCUGUUAUUGGGGAAGAACAAAUGUGGAAGUAACGAUGCACGUCUUGACGGUACCUAAUCAGAAAGCCACGGCUAACUACGUG